AUGCUCCUCAACUCUGUUCAAAACUGUUAAAACAGACAAGAACUCAGAGUAACUUCCUAAAUAACUUUAUAUGUACCAUUAGUUGCUAUGGCAGUUUACAUACAUUACAGUUAGUACCCACAGUCACAAAGAAAAUCACACAAAACAUUAAUCCCCAAACGAUGAGCAUAUAGUCCUUUCUAACAAAUACUGUACAUGGAGUACCCAAAACCGGUGAAAAGGUAUAUCCAAAUUUAGUUCUGAUUUUUGAAACUUUGUUCUCAAUUACUACACAAACCUACAAAUACAACGCAGAAACUUUUUUUUCC
rnacentral:lncRNA from 1 species